CCCACUCAACAGUGGCAGAGCGAUGGACUGUAAUUGUACAAGAAUAACCAGAUUCUAAGAGAUCAGAGGUGCUAUCCACAGGUCGCCGGUUCAAAUCCGGCUCGAGGGA